GACGAACGCUGGCGGCGUGCUUAACACAUGCAAGUCGAGCGGUAAGGCCCUUUCGGGGGUACACGAGCGGCGAACGGGUGAGUAACACGUGGGUGACCUGCCCUCAGCUCUGGGAUAAGCCUGGGAAACUGGGUCUAAUACUGGAUAUGACUCCACGGUGCAUGUCGUGGGGUGGAAAGCCUUGUGCGGCUGAGGAUGGGCCCGCGGCCUAUCAGUCUUGUUGGGGGGUGAUGGCCUACCAAGGCGACGACGGGUAGCCGGCCUGAGAGGGCGACCGGCCACACUGGGACUGAGACACGGCCCAGACUCCUACGGGAGGCAGCAGUGGGGAAUCUUGCGCAAUGGGACGAAAGCCUGACGCAGCGACGCCGCGUGAGGAUGACGCU
rnacentral:rRNA from 1 species